UACGGGGGGAGCAAGCGUUGUUCGGAUUUACUGGGCGUAAAGGGCGCGUAGGCGGCCAGCGCAAGUCAGUUGUGAAAUCUCCGAGCUUAACUCGGAAAGGUCAACUGAUACUGUGCGGCUAGAGUGCGGAAGGGGCAACUGGAAUUCUUGGUGUAGCGGUGAAAUGCGUAGAUAUCAAGAGGAACACCUGCGGCGAAGGCGGGUUGCUGGGCCGACACUGACGCUGAUGCGCGAAAGCUAGGGGAGCGAACGGG
rnacentral:rRNA from 1 species